UGGAGAAAGCGGCGCGGUGAUGGACUACUGGAUGCCUAGAAGGGAGGAAGAAGGGGCGGGUGGCAUGGCCUCAACGGGACGAGGAGGAGGCGGAUUCCGGCAUGGCCUGCACAGCUGCACUUUCUUCUCGGAACCUUCGCGUCUAUGGCCUCCUCGCUGUCAAAAUAGAUUGAUCUAAAUCAUCCUUUCAUUUUCCCCCUUAAGAUUGGCUCUCUCUGCUUCCUGAAACAGAAAGGGAGCAAGCUGGAAGCGUUCAUAAAUAAAGCUAUAACAGACAAGCAUUUUUCUUUUUGUUGCUGCUGCUUCUUCUCGCAAAGUUUCAAGCACCUUCAUGCCUCCCUCCAUGUCAAGCAUGACAAGGCAGCAAGGAUUAGAAGGGCGUCCAUUGCUGUAGUCCAUUCCUCAUGUCGUGUGCUCCACCAUUCCUUUAGAGGAUAGGCAGAUUCUUAUUAUAAGCUUUGGCAGCGACAGAAACAACAGAGCUCAUGGGCAAUAAGGAGAAUGCGAGCCAGCAAUUUGACAUGAAAUAGAGAUAUGCCGAGGCUCUUGGUUUUCUUUGUUGUUUGGUUCGAAAAAGAAGCAAGAAAUCAGCAAGCCAGCAGGUCCAGUCGUGAUCAGCCUACGCAGAUAAGACAGCGAGUAGAUUAUGUGCAGUGUUGGGCCUGCCUGCUCACUCUGUCUGAGGCAUCGACUCUCGACUCUCUACAAGCGAGGGCUUCAUGUCAACGGGAGGAAGGAAGUGUGAGAUGGGGCUUUUUGGCAAUGUCUCAGUUCGUUCUUGGUGAGUGUUAUGUAAAAUUCUUUUCAGCUCCGCUCAAGUACAUAAUGUCUCGGUUCGUACAGCGUUAUGUUCUUUUCAGCUGUGAUAAGAAACCAGGAUUUUUGCACUGAUGCUCUACAAUUAACCAGCUUCCAAUAGUUGCAGACUAGAAGGAUUCGCGUAAAUACUGAAUGGAUUUCCAGCCCCUUUUUAGCGCUCACUUCUGAAUAUCAGCAUGGUUGAUUGAGAUUCAGGGAUUCAGAUAUGUAGUUUUUUAUUGGCAUGUGUAUAAGUCUGUUAUGAGCAGCUAUUUUUGCCUGUUUUCUUGGGUUUAUGGGAGCUAAAUUGUAUGUGUGCUCAAACCCAAAUUUUCAUUGUCAGUAAGAAAAAUGACAAUGGUUUGUGUUAUUCAUAGGAUUAGCUUUACAACUCUCUCAGAAAAGG